AUAUGCGUGUGUGUGUGUGUGUGUCUGUGUGUAUUUGUGACUAUAAGUCAUUCCCUUCAAAUGCUAUUGAGCUUUAAAUUAUGGUAUAUUUUGUGUAUGACCCCAUGCAGUAGUGAAAUACAUGGCAAUAUUUACAUAUGAUUUAAUAGCUUAUUUUAAUAAAUAUCAGAAAUCUAAAAGGUGUGCAUUAUAGGUGACACCUAGAGGAACACUUUCCAGUUGGUUUCCUGACUGUACUUCAUUCCCUUCAAAUCCUAUUGAGCUUUAAAUUAUGGUAUAUUUUGCAUAUGGGCCCAUUCUGUAGUGAAAUUCAUAUCUAAUUUAAAUGUGGUUUAAUAGCUUAUUUUAAUAAAUAUCAAAAAUCUAAAAGGUGUUCAUCAUACCUGACACCUAGAUGAACACUUUACAGUUGGGUGUGUGACUGUACAUCAUUCCCUUCAAAUGCUAUUGAGCUUUAAAUGAUGGUAUAUUUGUGUAUGAGCCCAUGCAGUAAUAAAAUACAUAGCAAUAUUUAUAUAUGAUUUAAUAGUUUAUUUUGUUAAAUAUCAAAAAUCUAAGAGGUGUGCAUUAUAGCUGACACUAAGAUGAACAUUUUACAGUUGGUUAUAUGACUGCAAGUCAUUCCCUUUAAAUGUUAUUGAAGUUAGAAACGCGUUUAACAAUGUCGUAUGUAACUUUAGAGACGGUCCCUUAAUUUCCGCAUAUCUGAAUAUCGAAUGUCAAACCAACUUUAUUCCACACGAAUAUCGAACAUCCAACGCCAAAUCAACUUUAUUCCAGUUGUGUUUAUCCGUUCUUCAUGUGUGUCAGAUACUCAAUGUGUAAUUACAGUUUUAUUUCCAGGAUUUCACAUCAACAGUGUUUUAGGAUUACCUACAAAAGGAGGACAAAAUGAACUGUGGCCUGCUGACAAACAAGAAUGAGCCAGUUCCACUGAAGCACAUCGAGGUGGAUCUGCAGGUUCAGGGGCAUGUAGCGACGGUGACCUCCACCCUGCAGUAUAUAAAUGAGGAAGUGCACCCGCUGGAGGCUGUGUUUGUCUUCCCCAUGCCUUCAGGAGCUGCUCUCUGCCAUUUCAGCGCCAAGAUUGCAGACCAGGAGAUAGUGGCUGAGGUGCAGGAGAAACAGGAGGCGCGGGAGCAGUAUGAUGAUGCAGUGAGUUCAGGUCAACAGGCCUUUCUGCUGGAGGAGAGUGAGGAGUCUGUGGACGUGUUCAAGAUGAGUGUAGGCUCUCUGCCGUCAGGCCAGAGCGCCGCCGUCACCCUCAUCUAUAUCACUGAGCUGAGUGUACAGGCUGACCAUUCACUGCAAUUCUGCCUGCCUGCAGUGCUCAACCCCCGCUACACACCAGCCGGUUCAGGUGGUGAUAUAGUGUCAGAGAUAAUAUCAAGUUCCUCUGGUAUUCCUUACUCUCUCUCAUUUACUGCACACGUGAGCUCUCCAAACCCCAUCACUAAAGUGGAGUCCAAUUGUCCUCUAGAGCCCCUGAUGUUCCUCAACACAGACCACACAAAGGCAAAGGUAAGCCUUCGUACAGGUCAUAUGUUUGACAGAGAUGUCGAGCUGUAUCUAUAUUAUCAGAAUCCUCAUCAGCUCACUGCUAUAGUGGAAGCUGGAUCUCCUGCAGCACAGCCAGGGACUCUCCUGGGAGACCCUGUGGUCAUGGUCAGUUUCUAUCCAGAGUUUCCUGAGUCAGUGAUGUCCUCCGUGUCGUCGUGUGGCGAGUUUGUGUUUGUUAUGGACAGAUCUGGCAGUAUGAGCUGCGCCAUGCAUAAUGGACAAGGUGCACAAGAACGCAUCGAGUGUGCCAGGGACACUCUGCUCCUGCUGCUGAAGAGUCUCCCCAUGGACUGUUACUUCAACAUCUAUGGCUUUGGCUCUCACUAUGAAUCCUUCUUCCCGAAAAGUGUGCAGUACAGUCAGGACACUAUGGAGCAGGCUGUGAAGAAAGUAAAUGAGAUGCAAGCAGACAUGGGGGGCACGGAAAUUCUGCAACCUCUGGAGCACAUUUACAAACAGCCUUGUAUCCCCAACCACCCAAGACAGCUGUUCAUAUUUACAGAUGGUGAAGUAGAAAACACCAAAGAUGUUCUUCACUGCGUGAAGAGCAAUGCUGAUGUGCACAGAUGCUUCUCAUUUGGGAUUGGUGAAGGUGCAAGUUCUGCACUCAUCACAGGAUUGGCUGAGAACAGCUCUGGCCACGCCCAGUUCGUCUCAGGAAAAGAGCGCAUGCAGGCCAAAGUAAUGCAGUCUCUUCGCUAUGCUUUGCAACCAGCAGUGACUGAUAUCACUGAGGAUUGGACUGGUUUAUCUUUCACCCGUCUGAGCCCCCCGAUUAAUUCACUUUUCCAUGGUCAAAGAGCACUGAUUUAUGCCCAGUUGAAAGGAGAGGAAUGUCAGAACCCAGACACUAAGGGGAAAAUAUCAGUGCGGUACUGCCUAGGAGAUCAAGAGGUAACGAACACCGUCCACUUCUCCCUGAAGCCGGCUGAGGAGAGCGGACUGGCCAUCCACAGGCUGGGUGCUCGCUCUCUGAUCCGCUCUCUGGAAAGGGACGAGCAGAAUGAUGGAGCUGAUAAAGAGGCUCUGAAGGCCAGAGUGGUGGAACUGAGUAAGCAGUCUGGAGUGAGCAGCUCUCACACAGCCUUCAUAGCUGUCCAUAAGGGCAGCAGACAAGCUGUGAAAGGACCACUGGUGAAGAGGAGAAUUCCUACCCCUAUGAUGUCUGCAUGUGCUCCAGUUCAAGCUAGUGGAUUUCAUCCAGUGGUAGAGUGUGAUGGAGUUUUUCACAUGAAACCAGACACCCUUGAGUCUCCAAAGGAUCCGUUGUUGCAGCUCAUCUCCCUCCAGAAGGCUUUGGGUUGCUGGGAAAUGGAGUCUACACUUGCAGAGGUGUUUGGGAGGACAGAAAAAGAGCUGAUCGAGCAGAUUCCUGCACAGAUGUGCCCUGUUAGAUUGAUUGUUUACACAAUCAAUGUGUAACAACUGUGAAGACUGCAUUUGUUGUUAGAAAGGAUAAACCAGUAUGAGAGCUGUCUAUGAGAGAAAAACAAGCCAUUUUGAAGCUGAGAAACAAGGGAAAAGUGAUUUAGUCAUUGCACAAGCAUCGAACAGCUUGGCCAAGGAAAACAGCAGCAGUGGGUGACAGAAACCUUGUGAGAGCUAGGAAGAAAAACCAAAAAACAACAGUUAGUGACAUCACCAACAACCUCCACAGGACAGGGGUGAAGGUAUCAUAAUCCACCUUUGAGAGCACAAAUAUAGAUGUCAUACCACAAUAUGCAAACCACUCAUCAGCAGUAAGAAUGAGAGAGCCAGAUUGGAAUUCACAAAGAAAUACAGACAUGAGAAACAAAAGUUCUGGAACCAAGAAUAACCUCUACCCAAGUGAAGGAAAGGUCAAAGUGUGGAGAACGAAUGGAGCUGCUCAUGAUCCAAAACAUAUGAGCUCAUCGGUCAACAGUCAACUUGUGGUGGUAGCAGCAGAAUGAGUUCAGAAGUCUACAGAAACAUUCUGUCUGACAAUUUACAGAGAAAUGCAUCCAAUCUAAUUGGAAAUCUAACAUGACUCUUAAAAUUAUUUUGGUGCUGCUAUGUGCAGUAGAUAUUGUGCAUAGCAGUGGACCUCUUCUGUGUCCCACAAUGUUCCCCUGCCACUCAUGGUACACAUGUGUUGUGGAAACUAAUGAUAUAAUCAUCGGCUAAAACAUAAGCAGGUUACGUUACGUCCUGAUCAAGUGGGGACCCGAGUACAAGUUUCACAGUUCCAGUACAACCGAACUGAGACCACCUCCUACAGGUGAAGCCAGAUGUCUGGGCUACACUUCUGGCUCUGAUUUGGUUACAUGGCUUUAAGAUCGAUGCACAGGUUGAGUGGCAGUUUUUGGCCAUGAAAGCAGUGGCAUGGAUCCGCACACAGAAAG